rnacentral:rRNA from 1 species
AGAGUUUGAUCCUGGCUCAGGAUGAACGCUAGCGACAGGCUUAACACAUGCAAGUCGAGGGGCAGCGGGGGCGUAGCAAUAUGCCUGCCGGCGACCGGCGCACGGGUGAGUAACACGUAUGUAACCUGCCCUAUGCAGGGGGAUAACCCGGAGAAAUCCGGCCUAAUACCGCGUAACACCUUAGGGGAGCAUUCUCUUGAGGUUAAAGGAGAGAUCCGGCAUAGGAUGGACAUGCGUCGCAUUAGGUAGACGGCGGGGUAACGGCCCACCGUGCCGACGAUGCGUAGGGGUUCUGAGAGGAAGGCCCCCCACACUGGUACUGAGACACGGACCAGACUCCUACGGGAGGCAGCAGUGAGGAAUAUUGGUCAAUGGCCGAGAGGCUGAACCAGCCAAGUCGCGUGAGGGAAGAAUGUCCUAAGGAUUGUAAACCUCUUUUGUCGGGGAGCAAAAAGGCUCUGCGGAGUCGUAUUGAGAGUACCCGAAGAAAAAGCAUCGGCUAACUCCGUGCCAGCAGCCGCGGUAAUACGGAGGAUGCGAGCGUUAUCCGGAUUUAUUGGGUUUAAAGGGUGCGCAGGCGGCGUGUCAAGCAAGCGGUAAAAUAGCGGGGCUCAACCCCGUCGAGCCGUUUGAACUGGCGCGCUUGAGUUCAGGCGAGGUAGGCGGAAUUCGUGGUGUAGCGGUGAAAUGCAUAGAUAUCACGAAGAACUCCGAUUGCGAAGGCAGCUUACCAGUCUGCGACUGACGCUCAGGCACGAAAGUGUGGGUAUCGAACAGGAUUAGAUACCCUGGUAGUCCACACAGUAAACGAUGAGCGCUAGGUGUCCGGGUCGCAUGAGACUUGGGUGCCCGAGCGAAAGCGUUAAGCGCUCCACCUGGGGAGUACGCCGGCAACGGUGAAACUCAAAGGAAUUGACGGGGGCCCGCACAAGCGGAGGAACAUGUGGUUUAAUUCGAUGAUACGCGAGGAACCUUACCCGGGCUCAAACGACUCAGGAAUAUAUUGGAAACGAUGUAGCCAGCAAUGGUCUGAGUCGAGGUGCUGCAUGGUUGUCGUCAGCUCGUGCCGUGAGGUGUCGGCUUAAGUGCCAUAACGAGCGCAACCCCUACCGCCAGUUGCCAACGGGUAAAGCCGGGAACUCUGGCGGGACUGCCGGCGCAAGCUGCGAGGAAGGCGGGGAUGACGUCAAAUCAGCACGGCCCUUACGUCCGGGGCGACACACGUGUUACAAUGGCAGGUACAGCGGGAAGCCACCUGGUGACAGGGAGCGGAACCCGAAAGCCUGUCUCAGUUCGGAUUGGAGUCUGCAACUCGACUCCAUGAAGCUGGAUUCGCUAGUAAUCGCGCAUCAGCCAUGGCGCGGUGAAUACGUUCCCGGGCCUUGCACACACCGCCCGUCA